rnacentral:rRNA from 1 species
CCGCCUUCGCCACCGGUAUUCCUCCAGAUCUCUACGCAUUUCACCGCUACACCUGGAAUUCUACCCCCCUCUACAAGACUCAAGCUUGCCAGUUUCAAAUGCAGUUCCCAGGUUGAGCCCGGGGAUUUCACAUCUGACUUAACAAACCGCCUGCGUGCGCUUUACGCCCAGUAAUUCCGAUUAACGCUUGCACCCUCCGUAUUACCGCGGCUGCUGGCACGGAGUUAGCCGGUGCUUCUUCUGCGAGUAACGUCAAUCGCUAAGGUUAUUAACCUUAACGCCUUCCUCCUCGCUGAAAGUACUUUACAACCCGAAGGCCUUCUUCAUACACGCGGCAUGGCUGCAUCAGGCUUGCGCCCAUUGUGCAAUAUUCCCCACUGCUGCCUCCCGUAGGAGUCUGGACCGUGUCUCAGUUCCAGUGUGGCUGGUCAUCCUCUCAGACCAGCUAGGGAUCGUCGCCUAGGUGAGCCAUUACCCCACCUACUAGCUAAUCCCAUCUGGGCACAUCUGAUGGCAUGAGGCCCGAAGGUCCCCCACUUUGGUCUUGCGACGUUAUGCGGUAUUAGCUACCGUUUCCAGUAGUUAUCCCCCUCCAUCAGGCAGUUUCCCAGACAUUACUCACCCGUCCGCCGCUCGUCACCCGAGAGCAAGCUCUCUGUGCUACCGCUCGA